rnacentral:snoRNA from 1 species
AUCUUCAUGUGGUUCAUAAGCAUAAGAAUAAAGUGUCCAAGAUCUCCAUGACAUGCUUCCUGAAGCCUGGUUCUGAAAUUGACAUAUUACCUAUCUGAGG